rnacentral:rRNA from 1 species
GUGAACGCUGGCGGUAGGCCUAACACAUGCAAGUCGAACGGCAGCACAGUAAGAGCUUGCUCUUACGGGUGGCGAGUGGCGGACGGGUGAGGAAUACAUCGGAAUCUACUUUUUCGUGGGGGAUAACGUAGGGAAACUUACGCUAAUACCGCAUACGACCUACGGGUGAAAGCAGGGGAUCUUCGGACCUUGCGCGAUAGAAUGAGCCGAUGUCGGAUUAGCUAGUUGGCGGGGUAAAGGCCCACCAAGGCGACGAUCCGUAGCUGGUCUGAGAGGAUGAUCAGCCACACUGGAACUGAGACACGGUCCAGACUCCUACGGGAGGCAGCAGUGGGGAAUAUUGGACAAUGGGCGCAAGCCUGAUCCAGCCAUACCGCGUGGGUGAAGAAGGCCUUCGGGUUGUAAAGCCCUUUUGUUGGGAAAGAAAAGCAGCAGGUUAAUACCCCGCUGUUCUGACGGUACCCAAAGAAUAAGCACCGGCUAACUUCGUG